GGAAUAGUUUCCAUCGGUAAGGUAAGACGAUUGCUAAUUGUUCGGGCUAAAUACCCUUAGGUGUUCGAUUCACCUCUAUUCCG
rnacentral:tRNA from 1 species